GAAUUAGUAUUUUCUCUCACUCUUCUUUUUCUACUUGGAUGACUGGUUCCUGAGAUUCAUACAGCUCAUUUCCACAAACUGGGCAUGUUGUUAUUAUAAUUCAUGAGGUUUUUUGACGUUCUUCAUAUAUGCUCUGGUGCUUCAUCUCUAAACUGUAACCGCGUUCGCGGUAGUAGGGUGCUGUAUUCUCUUUAACUAUUUUAGUAGGGUGUUAUAUUCUGUUUAAAGAUUUUAGUCAGUUUCCAUUGUCCUGUUUAUCCAGCUAGCCUUGUAUUUCCAGUAGUUAUAAUUACUUUAGUUUAGUUUAAAGAUGAUAUUGUAAGAUAUUCUUGGAAAAUAUGGGCAUGUCUUGUACAUGUGUGGUUAAUAUAUCCAUAUUUUGAGCCCUACAACAUAAAGAACAGGUGAAGUUCUGAUUGCUUGAUGACUAUGCUGAUGAUACAUCGGUCAGGUGUUGUGACAAAAUGGUGUAACUUUACCUUGCCCUUAAUUCCUGAAAGAUCUGAACAUGAGUGUUGGGCAUUCAUGUUUGAUGUGACUCCCAUUUAAGUGUCUCAAUAUUUCAUUGUUGUGGCACCACAGAAAGUAAAUAACAAUUUCAGUGUUUUCCACAAAUUAAGUUUGUGGCAGUAUGGAUGUUGUGACUCCUUUUCUUGUAUAGUGAAAAUGGGACUCAUUGGUUUUAAUCUUUAACCCCUCACCCUGAAUUUAUAGGUUUUAAUCUUAAAUACCUAACCCUAAUCCAAAUAGAAAGUAGGAAGUUCCAUAUUCAAAAAUGGCGGGCGAUGGUAUCCUGGGCUAUCCUGACUUGGUAAAGGUUGUUCUGGCUUUAUAACUGUUGAAUGUAAGCUCAUCCGUUCUGGCUUGGUAAAGACGGUCAAAAAUAU